rnacentral:rRNA from 1 species
CCUACGGGUGGCAGCAGUGGGGAAUAUUGGACAAUGGGGGGAACCCUGAUCCAGCCAUGCCGCGUGUGUGAAGAAGGCCCUCGGGUUGUAAAGCACUUUCAGUGAGGAAGAACGCCUGGUGGUUAAUACCCAUCAGGAAGGACAUCACUCACAGAAGAAGCACCGGCUAACUCCGUGCCAGCAGCCGCGGUAAUACGGAGGGUGCGAGCGUUAAUCGGAAUUACUGGGCGUAAAGCGCGCGUAGGUGGCUUGAUAAGCCGGUUGUGAAAGCCCCGGGCUCAACCUGGGAACGGCAUCCGGAACUGUCAAGCUAGAGUGCAGGAGAGGAAGGUAGAAUUCCCGGUGUAGCGGUGAAAUGCGUAGAGAUCGGGAGGAAUACCAGUGGCGAAGGCGGCCUUCUGGACUGACACUGACACUGAGGUGCGAAAGCGUGGGUAGCAAACAGGAUUAGAUACCCGUGUAGUC